GCUGCACAUAGCAACAAAGUGUGAUUUGCCAUUCUUAACCCUUUGAACAUUGUCAGCAUCUUACAGCAUGAUGAUUCACAGAUACUCGGUUACAACACAGGGCAUGAAAGCAAGUUAAUGUUGACAGAAAUGAGAAAACCCAAGACAACCUACAUGAAUGAAACCUGAACUGAAAUAAAUAUUAACAGUGAUAUCAUCAAUAGGAAUCAAGCUUCUCCAGGAAGGAUACUCCAACAAACUAGAUUUCAUAUCACUUCUGACACUUGAUGUACUGCCUCCAAAAGGCAGUAUUCAUGGAAAUACAAGCUAUCUUUCUUACCAUGGGAAUGUUCCCUAAGUAUCUGCAUCAAUAUCUGUAAACUUUUGAGACCUGGAGAAAUAAAUACAGCAGUGUUGUAUUCUGACUUCUGCUUCAGUGAAGAUCUAACUGAAUUUCUUGAGGAGAUGAUUUUUAUGGACUACCAAAGGAGGCAGGCAUCCUGAAAUUACCUUAAGUCUUACAGAACAAUUGGGUGAUGCAAGUACAUUUAAGCAGUAUGUACUGUUGUAUGUAUUGAUGUAAUUCCAGGGCAGUCAAUUGAAUAAUUUAUCCUAGGGAAAAGUAAGACAGCAAUUUUUUCCACCUCCUCAUCCUGGAUACUCCUGUCAUAGUCACUAAACUGAGACUUGUGGUUACAGUGACAGAGGGGGAAAAAGUGCUGUACUUUCAAGGAUCAAAUUUCUGUUGAUGUCACUGAAACAAGGACAGUUUCAUUCACUGGAAGACUAUAAGAUUUUUCCUCUAUGUUAUAGGUAAAUAUGAGGUGCUCCAAAAGUAAUGCCUCCUAUUUUGUUAUGUUGUCCUGUGACAUCAAAAUGGGUGUUGGUGGCAUGGCAGUAGGGGUUGAACCUUCCCACCAAUAUUUCAUUAUUUUUUGUUGUCGUGAGACAGAUGGCAGCUGAAAAUUUGCUCUAUCAAAUAGUGUUAUUGUGCUUUUUUUGUGUGUGUAUAGUUACCAUGGUAAUAAAUAGAAAGCAUUACUUUUGGAGCAUCCUACGUAGAUUCUUCUGUUUUGGUUCUGGAUAUCCUUAUUUUUUGCUAGCAUGAUAUCUGCUCUGUGUUAGAAUCAAAGAACCACAGAAUCACCACAGUUGGAAAAGACCUCCAAGAACAUUCAGUCCAACCAUCCACCUACCAACCAUAGCUGCCCACUAAACCAUGUCCCUUAGUACAGCAUCUAAACAUGCGAUGGUAGUCCCAUAUAGAAGGGACUACCUCUCUUUUAUCUCAUAGGCACUAUGUCAACAUAACCUUCAGGAAAAUAACAAUAACUUUCUUAUCCCAAAUUCUAAUUACAAAAUGUAAUGACUGUAGGUGGAUAACGAUGGCUAAACAGGGACCAAUAUACAACACCGAGGAAACAGUAUUUUGAAAUGAGAAAUUAGUCUUCUGCUAUGAGGAAAAUAAAUCAGUCAUUCUAUAUUCAAUAUGGGAACUUCUGAGAACUUGAUCUUUGCUUUUCUAUAGCAAAGAAGAAAAAUGCACUGAAAUUUCAGUCUGCUUUUAUUUUCUAUGUUUUUGAGCAAAAAAAAAAAAAAAAAUUGGAACGUGAACCACUGAGUCUCAUACCACUGUCUUGGUAUGUUGUGGUUAUGGCAUGUGGGUUAUUUUUUUCUGAAAAUGAUAUAAAAUACUUGAUGUUCCUCUGUAUUUUAUUCUGAAUAAUCUUUUCUGAAUGGAACUUUGUCCUAAUACAAGUGCCACUAAAAUAAAGGUUAACCUCACUGACUGU